GACCAAAGAGGGGGACCUUCGGGCCUCUUGCCAUCGGAUGUGCCCAGAUGGGAUUAGCUAGUAGGUGGGGUAACGGCUCACCUAGGCGACGAUCCCUAGCUGGUCUGAGAGGAUGACCAGCCACACUGGAACUGAGACACGGUCCAGACUCCUACGGGAGGCAGCAGUGGGGAAUAUUGCACAAUGGGCGCAAGCCUGAUGCAGCCAUGCCGCGUGUAUGAAGAAGGCCUUCGGGUUGUAAAGUACUUUCAGCGGGGAGGAAGGGAGUAAAGUUAAUACCUUGCUCAUGACGUACCCGCAGAAGAAGCACCGGCUAACUCCGUGCCAGCAGCCGCGGUAAUACGGAGGGUGCAAGCGUUAAUCGGAAUUACUGGGCGUAAAGCGCACGCAGGCGGUUUGUUAAGUCAGAUGUGAAAUCCCCGGGCUCAACCUGGGAACUGCAUCUGAUACUGGCAAGCUUGAGUCUCGUAGAGGGGGGUAGAAUUCCAGGUGUAGCGGUGAAAUGCGUAGAGAUCUGGAGGAAUACCGGUGGCGAAGGCGGCCCCCUGGACGAAGACUGACGCUCAGGUGCGAAAGCGUGGGGAGCAAACAGGAUUAGAUACCCU
rnacentral:rRNA from 1 species